AGUGAACGCUGGCGGUAGGCCUAACACAUGCAAGUCGAACGGCAGCACAGUAAGAGCUUGCUCUUACGGGUGGCGAGUGGCGGACGGGUGAGGAAUACAUCGGAAUCUACUUUUUCGUGGGGGAUAACGUAGGGAAACUUACGCUAAUACCGCAUGCGACCUACGGGUGAAAGCAGGGGAUCUUCGGACCUUGCGCGAUUGAAUGAGCCGAUGUCGGAUUAGCUAGUUGGCGGGGUAAAGGCCCACCAAGGCGACGAUCCGUAGCUGGUCUGAGAGGAUGAUCAGCCACACUGGAACUGAGACACGAUCCAGACUCCUACGGGAGGCAGCAGUGGGGAAUAUUGGACAAUGGGCGCAAGCCUGAUCCAGCCAUACCGCGUGGGUGAAGAAGGCCUUCGGGUUGUAAAGCCCUUUUGUUGGGAAAGAAAAGCAGCAGGUUAAUACCCCGCUGUUCUGACGGUACCCAAAGAAUAAGCACCGGCUAACUUCGUG
rnacentral:rRNA from 1 species